UGGGGAAUUGUUCGCAAUGGGCGCAAGCCUGACGACGCAACGCCGCGUGGAGGAUGAAGAUCUUCGGGUCGUAAACUCCUGUCGACCGGGACGAAAUUCCCGGGAGCUAACAGCUCCCGGGAUUGACGGUACCGGUGGAGGAAGCCCCGGCUAACUCCGUGCCAGCAGCCGCGGUAAUACGGGGGGGGCAAGCGUUGUUCGGAAUUACUGGGCGUAAAGGGCUCGUAGGCGGCCGACUAAGUCCGACGUGAAAUCCCACGGCUCAACCGUGGAACUGCGUCGGAUACUGAACGGCUUGAAUCCAAGAGAGGGAUGCGGAAUUCCAGGUGUAGCGGUGAAAUGCGUAGAUAUCUGGAGGAACACCGGUGGCGAAGGCGGCAUCCUGGAUUGGCAUUGACGCUGAGGAGCGAAAGCCAGGGGAGCAAACGGG
rnacentral:rRNA from 1 species